AGUGGCCAUAAUCGAAGCUACGGUAAUGCGUAAUAAAUAUUGUAGUCAAAAGUUGGCCAAAAUGAAGUUCCUUUAUAUUGGUCACUGUAUGCUUUUACGUAAGCUUCUCAGUAUUACCCAUUUAGGAAACAAAA